rnacentral:rRNA from 1 species
AUGCACAUAUUGUGAGCUCGAUGAGUAGGGCGGGACACGUGGUAUCCUGUCUGAAUAUGGGGGGACCAUCCUCCAAGGCUAAAUACUCCUGACUGACCGAUAGUGAACCAGUACCGUGAGGGAAAGGCGAAAAGAACCCCGGCGAGGGGAGUGAAAAAGAACCUGAAACCGUGUACGUACAAGCAGUGGGAGCCUCUUUAUGGGGUGACUGCGUACCUUUUGUAUAAUGGGUCAGCGACUUAUAUUCUGUAGCAAGGUUAACCGAAUAGGGGAGCCGAAGGGAAACCGAGUCUUAACUGGGCGUUAAGUUGCAGGGUAUAGACCCGAAACCCGGUGAUCUAGCCAUGGGCAGGUUGAAGGUUGGGUAACACUAACUGGAGGACCGAACCGACUAAUGUUGAAAAAUUAGCGGAUGACUUGUGGCUGGGGGUGAAAGGCCAAUCAAACCGGGAGAUAGCUGGUUCUCCCCGAAAGCUAUUUAGGUAGCGCCUCGUGAAUUCAUCUCCGGGGGUAGAGCACUGUUUCGGCAAGGGGGUCAUCCCGACUUACCAACCCGAUGCAAACUGCGAAUACCGGAGAAUGUUAUCACGGGAGACACACGGCGGGUGCUAACGUCCGUCGUGAAGAGGGAAACAACCCAGACCGCCAGCUAAGGUCCCAAAGUCAUGGUUAAGUGGGAAACGAUGUGGGAAGGCCCAGACAGCCAGGAUGUUGGCUUAGAAGCAGCCAUCAUUUAAAGAAAGCGUAAUAGCUCACUGGUCGAGUCGGCCUGCGCGGAAGAUGUAACGGGGCUAAACCAUGCACCGAAGCUGCGGCAGCGACACUAUGUGUUGUUGGGUAGGGGAGCGUUCUGUAAGCCUGUGAAGGUGGCCUGUGAGGGUUGCUGGAGGUAUCAGAAGUGCGAAUGCUGACAUAAGUAACGAUAAAGCGGGUGAAAAGCCCGCUCGCCGGAAGACCAAGGGUUCCUGUCCAACGUUAAUCGGGGCAGGGUGAGUCGACCCCUAAGGCGAGGCCGAAAGGCGUAGUCGAUGGGAAACAGGUUAAUAUUCCUGUACUUGGUGUUACUGCGAAGGGGGGACGGAGAAGGCUAUGUUGGCCGGGCGACGGUUGUCCCGGUUUAAGCGUGUAGGCUGGUUUUCCAGGCAAAUCCGGAAAACCAAGGCUGAGGCGUGAUGACGAGGCACUACGGUGCUGAAGCGACAAAUGCCCUGCUUCCAGGAAAAGCCUCUAAGCAUCAGGUAACAUCAAAUCGUACCCCAAACCGACACAGGUGGUCAGGUAGAGAAUACCAAGGCGCUUGAGAGAACUCGGGUGAAGGAACUAGGCAAAAUGGUGCCGUAACUUCGGGAGAAGGCACGCUGAUAUGUAGGUGAAGCGACUUGCUCGUGGAGCUGAAAUCAGUCGAAGAUACCAGCUGGCUGCAACUGUUUAUUAAAAACACAGCACUGUGCAAACACGAAAGUGGACGUAUACGGUGUGACGCCUGCCCGGUGCCGGAAGGUUAAUUGAUGGGGUUAGCGGUAACGCGAAGCUCUUGAUCGAAGCCCCGGUAAACGGCGGCCGUAACUAUAACGGUCCUAAGGUAGCGAAAUUCCUUGUCGGGUAAGUUCCGACCUGCACGAAUGGCGUAAUGAUGGCCAGGCUGUCUCCACCCGAGACUCAGUGAAAUUGAACUCGCUGUGAAGAUGCAGUGUACCCGCGGCAAGACGGAAAGACCCCGUGAACCUUUACUAUAGCUUGACACUGAACAUUGAGCCUUGAUGUGUAGGAUAGGUGGGAGGCUUUGAAGUGUGGACGCCAGUCUGCAUGGAGCCGACCUUGAAAUACCACCCUUUAAUGUUUGAUGUUCUAACGUUGGCCCGUAAUCCGGGUUGCGGACAGUGUCUGGUGGGUAGUUUGACUGGGGCGGUCUCCUCCUAAAGAGUAACGGAGGAGCACGAAGGUUGGCUAAUCCUGGUCGGACAUCAGGAGGUUAGUGCAAUGGCAUAAGCCAGCUUGACUGCGAGCGUGACGGCGCGAGCAGGUGCGAAAGCAGGUCAUAGUGAUCCGGUGGUUCUGAAUGGAAGGGCCAUCGCUCAACGGAUAAAAGGUACUCCGGGGAUAACAGGCUGAUACCGCCCAAGAGUUCAUAUCGACGGCGGUGUUUGGCACCUCGAUGUCGGCUCAUCACAUCCUGGGGCUGAAGUAGGUCCCAAGGGUAUGGCUGUUCGCCAUUUAAAGUGGUACGCGAGCUGGGUUUAGAACGUCGUGAGACAGUUCGGUCCCUAUCUGCCGUGGGCGCUGGAGAACUGAGGGGGGCUGCUCCUAGUACGAGAGGACCGGAGUGGACGCAUCACUGGUGUUCGGGUUGUCAUGCCAAUGGCACUGCCCGGUAGCUAAAUGCGGAAGAGAUAAGUGCUGAAAGCAUCUAAGCACGAAACUUGC